UACGGGAGGCAGCAGUGGGGAAUAUUGCACAAUGGGCGCAAGCCUGAUGCAGCCAUGCCGCGUGUAUGAAGAAGGCCUUCGGGUUGUAAAGUACUUUCAGUCGUGAGGAAGGUGUUAAGGUUAAUAACCUUAGCAAUUGACGUUAGCGACAGAAGAAGCACCGGCUAACUCCGUGCCAGCAGCCGCGGUAAUACGGAGGGUGCGAGCGUUAAUCGGAAUUACUGGGCUAAAGGGCACGCAGGCGGUUAAUUAAGUUGGAUGUGAAAUCCCCGGGCUUAACCUGGGAAUGGCAUUCAAGACUGGUUAGCUAGAGUCUUGUAGAGGGGGUAGAAUUCCAUGUGUAGCGGUGAAAUGCGUAGAGAUGUGGAGGAAUACCGGGUGGCGAAGGCGGCCCCUGGGACAAAGGACUGACGCUCAUGUGCGAAAGCGUGGGGAGCAAACAGGAUUAGAUACC
rnacentral:rRNA from 1 species